rnacentral:rRNA from 1 species
UACAGAGGUCUCAAGCGUUGUUCGGAUUCAUUGGGCGUAAAGGGUGCGUAGGUGGCGCGGUAAGUCGGGUGUGAAUCUCGGAGCUUAACUCCGAAAUUGCAUUCGAUACUGCCGUGCUUGAGGACUGGAGAGGAGACUGGAAUUCCUGGUGUAGCGGUGAAAUGCGCAGAUAUCAGGAGGAACACCGGUGGCGAAGGCGGGUCGUCUGGGCCGAUACUGACGUGAGGAGCGAAAGCGUGGGGAGCGAACAGG